GUACCUGCUCAGACUCUUUAUUGGAAGAACCACCUGAGGAACAGCAAAAGUCCAUAAAUAUGACUGCUGAUGAUCAGCAUGGACAUAAUGAAGAGCAGCCAUGUAUAGUGGAUCCCAGUAAAAAUGAUCCCUGCUCACCUGAAGACACAGACAAUCCAACCAUAAACAUAGAUCCUGAAAUUUUCUUCAACUUUUUGGCCCUCACUCAAAGCCGAAGGCUCGAUGACCAGCGACUGUUUCUUCCAUCAUUGCCAG